UGGGGAAUAUUGCACAAUGGGGGAAACCCUGAUGCAGCGACGCCGCGUGAAGGAAGAAGUAUCUCGGUAUGUAAACUUCUAUCAGCAGGGAAGAAAAUGACGGUACCUGACUAAGAAGCCUCGGCUAACUACGUGCCAGCAGCCGCGGUAAUACGUAGGGGGCAAGCGUUAUCCGGAUUUACUGGGUGUAAAGGGAGCGUAGACGGAGCAGCAAGUCUGAUGUGAAAGGCAGGGGCUCAACCCCUGGACCUGCGUUUGAAACUGUUCUUCUUGAGUGAUGGAGAGGCAGGCGGAAUUCCGUGUGUAGCGGUGAAAUGCGUAGAUAUACGGAGGAACACCAGUGGCGAAGGCGGCCUGCUGGACAUUAACUGACGCUGAGGCGCGAAAGCGUGGGGAGCAAACAGGAUUAGAUACC
rnacentral:rRNA from 1 species